CAUCCAAUGAAAGAGUUGUGUACAAACUAAGGCAAUAUUCAGCUGAUAGUGAGGAUUUGAAAUGUUUUCUUAAAGUUUUCUUUCUUAUCUCUUCCAUGUUGUGUAUAAACAGUUAGCAAGAACAUGCUCAACAUUUGUAGUAACUGCAGAUUACUUCGUCCUAGUAAGAUGAAGAUGGAGCACCAGGUAUAAUGUAGAGAUAGUCUAUAAGAGAAAACCACCAGCAUGCAGCUGGAAUGAUGGAAGUAGUAUAAUGAACUGCAAGUCUUGCUGUCGACACAAAUGACUCUUUGUAAUGUGUUAACAGUACUGCUAAAAUACUACAGAUGAACAACUCACAGUACGGCAUUAAAGGAAAAAGAGGUUUCCUUGUGGGUCUUCAGCUUGUAAGAAAGGUAAAGUUCACAACAACUCAAAAUUCUGGUAAUGGCAAAGGAAGGUCAUGGUGGACUGCAAUGAAUGGUAAAGGUAUGACAUAAGAAGCAACAGCCUGAGGGAAUCUGAGCCAAAAUGUACUGAAGCACAAGCAAAAACACAUUUGCACACUGCCAACAAAACCAUUUCUGCAAGUUAAGCCUCUUUAUGUCAUAGUCAGGAUUAAUCAGUUUUUUUUUUUGAAAUGAGAAGCAGAUGAACCUCUGCACCAAAAACAAAAGAAACAAAAUAUACACAGAUCAGCAAUGUGACUGGCAAACACAUCAGCAAUGAAAAAGGAUGAAAGGCUUUGCGGUACACCUGGUUGGCUGCUUAGCAUACCACAGCAUGGGUAGAAAAAAACAUUUAUUUGAACCAAAGUCAGGAAUCAGCUGCAAUGGCAGGAAACCAUGUCAUCACACAGCAAUCAGCUUGCCUGUUAUGCACUCUUCAAGCAUAAUAACAAGAGCAUUAGUCAGAAGAAGAACAAAUGGGAAGAGUAAAUGGAGUAGAGUGGAAAAAGCUUGGAGAACAGCUCAUACGCAGCCAACACAUGCAGGUCUCUAAGGAAGACACACCUUCCUCGCCCAAGGAAGGCAAUUUGGAUUUCAAGGGUGCCUCCUCAGCUAUAUUUACACUUUCCCCAUUGCGAGUUACUUGAUCUUCAAGAAUGGGUUCCUGCUGGGCCUCCCUGAAGCCUUCAGCUUGUUGCAAAGGCUCAGCAGGACCACUCAUUUCCUCACAUCCCUCCUCAAGGAGGGGAGCAGGUCUGGGUUCCUCAGCCACUGGAGCUUUAGAUGUUUCGUCUUCGUCCUCCUCUUCUAUGGGGGGAGCAGGAGGGAGGGGAAAGGAUGGAAAAAUGAAGCAACAUCUUCACGACUAACAGACAAUAAAAGGUGUGACAUGUCAACCAUGUUGCCCAUAUGCAACAUUUUCAGCUCAGAAUGUGAUUUACCCAUUUUGCUAUGCUACCUUGCAUAGCAUUUUUUAAAAAUUGUUAUUAUGAGCAAAGUAGCUCUCUUGGCUGUCUUGAAAACUGUGGGUUAGGUUCAGGUGACAUGCUGCCCAGUUACUAAACUAUGGGAGGAAAUAAUGACACUACCCCCACCCCAAUCCCAACCCCCAUUGUCAUUGGGUUGCAGCUUCCAGCAUACCUCACUAUUGACUCUGCUUGGCCAAACAAUCUGGAAGGCCAAACAAUUUAUGUCCUUGCAUGAAGCCACUAUUUGGUGACUAUGACAUAUCUGGUGGCUCACGCAUUUCUCCCACAUCCCUUCCCUGCUGCAUCUGGACUGGCAGAAAGAUAGCUGUGAGUAACCAUAACUAGCUUAGAAACAGAGGUUGAAACCAGAUUGUACCUCCAUUUAGAAAGUGACUAUGGUUACAAAGAGCUAUGGUAAUAAAGGUUUGUACAUAAUACUGAACCAUGCUUAAUGUUAAGCAGGAAAGGAAGAGGGAAAGAAUAUAUGAACCCAAGGAAGAAGGAAGAACCUGGAAGCUCACAGGCAAACUAUGCUUUCAGACAUGACUGAACCACACUCAUGCUUUUCAUGCAAUAUAGAUAGAUAGAUAGAUAGACAGACAGACAGAUAGACAGACAGACAGACAGACAGCACAUUUUAGAGGAAAAAGAGAGCUGAAAAUGUUAUAUUGUUCCCAAAGUGGAAACGACUGUAGAAGACAUUUGGGCUAAAUUACCUAUGGAAAAUGGAAAUGUGUGGUGGUGAUACAUGGCUUUGAAAAAGAGGUGUUAGUAUUCCAACAAAAUACAUUAAACUUCUUUGUAUUACUGUAUUGUGAUACACAUAGAGCUGCCAUUGAAGUGUCUCUAGAGUGGUUCAGAAUGUGGCUACAAGUAUUUUAACAUAAAGUGUCUGAUUUUGAGUGAACUGUAUAUUGGCACUGGCUACCCGAUGUGCCAUGAGUAGCUAUAGAGGACAAGUAUUUCUUAGAUGUCGAAUUUAAUGGAAUUCUUUAUUACUGAGUUAGUUACAUUUGGCAAAAUAAAUUUGGUUUGCCAGAAAAACUUUUUGGGGUGAAUGAGAAAUAGUUAUGUUAUUUCUGAUUAUCUCGAUUGUUUCUACUAAUAUUAUUAAUGGCCAGGAUCCAAUAGUGUCGUACUUUUGAAUCCUGUUACUUCAGCAGAAUAAGCAACCCCUUCUGCCUUCCAGGACACCCCUGCUUCAUAAGACUGGGAAAUAACUUCCCUGGGUGCUCUUGCUCCAUAAGCAUGGGAAAUGAGCAUAAUUUGGUGCUUUAGAAUGAUUUGGUUGUAGAAUAAGGAGCUGAUGAAGAAAAUUCUACUUCCAAUGCUAAUAGAUAUGGGGGUAAACAUUAAAUUAAAUCCUGAUCAUUGUUUUAUAUUGCUUUUAAUCCAUAUUGUGGAUCUGGAGGAUGAAAUAGUGGGUUAGAAAUAUUUACAAUGGAAGAAUAAAUAAAUGUCCUCGGAUGUCCCUAUUGGUAAUGAGGAAAACAAGGCACAUUGCCCCUGUAAUGUAGCAGUAAGAGCAAGAAAAUGAACAGAUGUCUGGAACACACUUUCUGCUUUCCCAGCAAUUGGCAAUAUGUAUACCAUAAUUCUGGUCCUCUGUAGAAACUAUAAAACCAUUAAAGCUCUGUUUGUGGCACA